rnacentral:rRNA from 1 species
AGUGAACGCUGGCGGUAGGCCUAACACAUGCAAGUCGAACGGCAGCACAGUAAGAGCUUGCUCUUACGGGUGGCGAGUGGCGGACGGGUGAGGAAUACAUCGGAAUCUACUUUUUCGUGGGGGAUAACGUAGGGAAACUUACGCUAAUACCGCAUACGACCUACGGGUGAAAGCAGGGGAGCUUCGGACUUUGCGCGAUUGAAUGAGCCGAUGUCGGAUUAGCUAGUUGGCGGGGUAAAGGCCCACCAAGGCGACGAUCCGUAGCUGGUCUGAGAGGAUGAUCAGCCACACUGGAACUGAGACACGGUCCAGACUCCUACGGGAGGCAGCAGUGGGGAAUAUUGGACAAUGGGCGCAAGCCUGAUCCAGCCAUACCGCGUGGGUGAAGAAGGCCUUCGGGUUGUAAAGCCCUUUUGUUGGGAAAGAAAAGCAGCAGGUUAAUACCCCGCUGUUCUGACGGUACCCAAAGAAUAAGCACCGGCUAACUUCGUG